rnacentral:rRNA from 1 species
GAGGAAACUCUGAUGCUGCGAUGCCGCGUGAGUGAAGAAGGCCUUUGGGUUGUAAAGCUCUUUUGUAGGGGAAGAUAAUGACUGUACCCUAAGAAUAAGGUCCGGCUAACUUCGUGCCAGCAGCCGCGGUAAUACGAAGGGACCUAGCGUAGUUCGGAAUUACUGGGCGUAAAGCGCGCGUAGGCCGUUGAGUUAGUUAAUUGUGAAAUCCCAAAGCUUAACUUUGGAACUGCAAUUAAAACUGCUCGACUAGAGUUUGAUAGAGGAAAGCGGAAUACAUAGUGUAGAGGUGAAAUUCGUAGAUAUUAUGUAGAACACCGGUUGCGAAGGCGGCUUUCUGGGUCAACACUGACGCUGAGGCGCGAAAGUAUGGGUAGCAAAGAGGAUUAGAUACCCUCGUAGUCCAUACCAUAAACGAUGAUUGCUAGAUGUUGGAAAUUUAUUUUCAGUAUCGCAGCUAACGCAUUAAGCAAUCCGCCUGGGGAGUACGACCGCAAGGUUAAAACUCAAAUGAAUUGACGGGGACCCGCACAAGCGGUGGAGCAUGUGGUUUAAUUCGAAGAUACCGCGCAGAACCUUACCAACCCUUGACAUGUCUGUCGCGAGUUAAGGAAAUAGAUUUUCGGGUCGGCGGGACGACACAGGUGCUGCUG